rnacentral:rRNA from 1 species
UUUCUUUUAUGGAGAGUUUGAUCCUGGCUCAGGACGAACGCUGGCGGCGUGCCUAAUACAUGCAAGUCGAGCGAACUUGCGGGAG